rnacentral:rRNA from 1 species
GACGAACGCUGGCGGCGUGCUUAACACAUGCAAGUCGAACGGAAAGGUCCUGCUUUUGUGGGGUGCUCGAGUGGCGAACGGGUGAGUAACACGUGAGUAACCUGCCCUUGACUUUGGGAUAACUUCAGGAAACUGGGGCUAAUACCGGAUAGGAGCUCCUGCUGCAUGGUGGGGGUUGGAAAGUUUCGGCGGUUGGGGAUGGACUCGCGGCUUAUCAGCUUGUUGGUGGGGUAGUGGCUUACCAAGGCUUUGACGGGUAGCCGGCCUGAGAGGGUGACCGGCCACAUUGGGACUGAGAUACGGCCCAGACUCCUACGGGGGGCAGCAGUGGGGAAUAUUGCACAAUGGGCGGAAGCCUGAUGCAGCAACGCCGCGUGCGGGAUGACGGCCUUCGGGUUGUAAACCGCUUUCGCCUGUGACGAAGCGUGAGUGACGGUAAUGGGUAAAGAAGCACCGGCUAACUACGUG